CAGCAGCCACGGUAAUACGAAGGGUGCAAGCGUUAAUCGGAAUUACUGGGCGUAAAGCGUGCGUAGGCGGUGAGUUAAGUCUGCUGUGAAAUCCCCGGGCUCAACCUGGGAAUGGCAGUGGAUACUGGCAAGCUAGAGUGUGGUAGAGGAUAGUGGAAUUUCCGGUGUAGCAGUGAAAUGCGUAGAGAUCGGAAGGAACAUCUGUGGCGAAGGCGACUAUCUGGGCCAACACUGACACUGAGGCACGAAAGCGUGGGGAGCAAACAGGAUUAGAUACCCGUGUAGUCCCUGUCUCUUAUAC
rnacentral:rRNA from 1 species